UGGUGAGGUCAUUUGCAGUGAGCGGGGCUAAUGCAGAAAGAAGCCCCUAGUUCUCUCUGUCUGUGUGUGUGUGUGAUUCGCGGUGCUGUGCUCUCCAUCUCCUCCAUCAGUGUGUUUACAGCUUAUAAACAUGUCAGUGCGCAACCUAUUGGCUGGAGGAUUCAAAACUGAGCGCUUCCUUUUCGUAUUUACAUCUUUCGAAGAAAUAAUUCCUGAUUUGUGGAUGGUGGUCCCAUGAUGCGCUUGAAGUCUUCAACUAUCAGUUGAUUAUCUUCCUGUUGUAUAACUAUACUGCAUAUCUUAUGGAAUCUAAACAUAUUUCUCCAUUUUUGUGACUAAAUGUAAUAAAUUUACAUGCAUUUCUAAA